rnacentral:lncRNA from 1 species
UGCUCAUUGCUCAAUGUAAAUAUGAUUCUUAAUAAGGUUUUUAUUUGUUUCCAUUUAGGUAUGCGUUUACAUUUCCAUAGUAUAUAGCAUAAUAAUUCAUAUGAAAAAACAAUCGGGUAUAACCAUCGAAUGAAGUUUAACAAGAAUUAUAACCAUAGUUAUUAAAUGGACUAAAGGCCAACUAAUGCCAAUCUCAAAGAACAUGAUGACUUCAGAAAUACACAUGUAGUCAUCCGAUCUACUAGAUCUACAUUCACUUCAUUUAUAUUUCUUUUAAACCGAAAAUCAAACUAGAUGGACCAUACUAAAUGAAAUAUCCAUUUGCAAAAUACGGGAAUGUGACAUUCAAAGCUAUAAACACAAUCAAAAAUGAGAAGGAAAAAAGAAAAAAAAAAACAGAAAGCCACUCGCCCGUCUAGUGAUUUUAGUUGUUAUGCCAUAUUUCCAAGCCCAGAGUAAUCAUAUCGAGUGGCACAGACCUUGAAUAUGUAACUAUGGGUUCGGAUUGGUCAACUGGAUAAGCCAUUGCUUCGGCCCAAGACAAGGCUUUAUCUCUUCUCCUUUACCCGUGGUGGAAACGUCACAAAGGUUAGCGUACGUUCCUGCACUAAUGAGUGACGUAUCCUCAACUCUAAC